GGACAGGUGUCCGAGUGGCUGAAGGAGCCGGUCUCGAAAACCGGUAAACCCUUACGGGUUUCGAGGGUUCGAAUCCCUCCCUGUCCG
rnacentral:tRNA from 1 species